ensembl:snRNA U1 U1 spliceosomal RNA
AAACUUACCUGGCAUGUGAGAUACCUUGAUCACCCAGGACAAGGCUCGACCAUUGCACUCAGGCCGUGCUGACUUCUGUGAAUUCUAAAAAUGUGGGAAUCUCGACUGCAUAAUUUUUAAAAAACAUUUAAUGUU